rnacentral:lncRNA from 12 species
CUACAAGAAAGGACUUUGGAAAAGCCAGCGGUACACAGUCACAGGCAACAGGGUGGCCUACAGUCGAUUGAACAGUGAUGACAUCUGGGUGAGGAAGAAGUCAAGGAAACUACCAAUGAUCCCCGGGGGCAUUUAUAGCUCCAAGUCAGAAGCCCAGCCGGUGGAAGAUGACAGCCCCAAAGCCUUGCCUGUGUUAGGGGAGCUAUCGAACUCAGAUAAUGACAUAAACGAGUCGGUGUUCAUCUGGGGAAUCUCAGACAAAGCAGCCCAGAGGAAAACCAUCUCUGUCGAUGAAGGUUCGUUUCACUUGCAACAGAAAAAGCAGCAGCAGCAGCAGCAGCAGCAGCAGCCGCCGCCGCCGCCACGACUGGAGCCCGUGCACAGGCUGGGGAGAGGUAGAGGGAGGCUGAAGCUGCCACAUUCUCUGCCACAUGACCAUGCCAUCUGUGGGGCCACUGGUUUACUAGAAAAAUCUAACUCAAGGUUGCAAGACAGCAAUGAGGGAGCCUGGAGGAAUGCUUUGCCUAAUAGGUCUAUGAGUGAACAUAUUGGACCAGUCAUAUUCUUCCCCUUGGAGAGUUUGAAGCAAAGGCACAAAGAAGAGGAUAUUAGUUGUGAGAAGAUGCAAAAGAAAGCAACAUGAAGAACCCACGAGACAGUGGGAAAUACAAACAUCUAGAAUUAUAAGCUACAAAGGCUUUAGGUAAGCUGAAGCUAUCAGGUAAAGAAAGUAUACAUAUGCUUUUAAAAAUAAAUUCGUUA